rnacentral:rRNA from 1 species
AUGGGAACGCGAAGAACCUUACCUAGACUUGACAUCUCCUGAAUAGUGUAGAGAUACAUGAAGCCCUUCGGGGCAGGAAGACAGGUGGUGCAUGGUUGUCGUCAGCUCGUGUCGUGAGAUGUUGGGUUAAGUCCCGCAACGAGCGCAACCCCUAUUAUUAGUUGCUAACAUUAAGUUGAGCACUCUAGUGAGACUGCCCGGGUUAACCGGGAGGAAGGUGGGGAUGACGUCAAAUCAUCAUGCCCCUUAUGUCUAGGGCAACACACGUGCUACAAUGGUGAGUACAGAUAGAUGCGAUACCGCAAGGUGGAGCCAAAACUCUAAAACUCAUCCCAGUUCGGAUUGUAGGCUGCAACUCGCCUACAUGAAGUUGGAGUUGCUAGUAAUCGCGAAUCAGAAUGUCGCGGUGAAUACGUUCCCGGGUCUUGUACACACCG